rnacentral:rRNA from 1 species
UGUCGUCAGCUCGUGUCGUGAGACGUUGGGUUAAGUCCCGCAACGAGCGCAACCCUUAUUAUUAGUUGCCAGCAUUUAGUUGGGCACUCUAGUGAGACUGCCGGUAACAAACCGGAGGAAGGUGGGGAUGACGUCAAAUCAUCAUGCCCCUUAUGACCUGGGCUACACACGUGCUACAAUGGAUGGAACAAAGGGCAGCGAAGCGGUGACGUGUAGCGAAUCCCGUAAAACCAUUCUCAGUUCGGAUUGCAGGCUGCAACUCGCCUGCAUGAAGCUGGAAUCGCUAGUAAUCGCGAAUCAGAACGUCGCGGUGAAUACGUUCCCGGGA